rnacentral:rRNA from 14 species
GUCAACUCGGAGGAAGGUGGGGAUGACGUCAAAUCAUCAUGCCCCUUAUGUCUUGGGCUUCACGCAUGCUACAAUGGCCGGUACAAAGGGCUGCGAUACCGCAAGGUGGAGCGAAUCCCAAAAAGCCGGUCUCAGUUCGGAUUGGGGUCUGCAACUCGACCCCAUGAAGUCGGAGUCGCUAGUAAUCGCAGAUCAGCAACGCUGCGGUGAAUACGUUCCCGGGCCUUGUACACACCGCCCGUCACACCAUGGGAGUGGGUUGCAAAAGAAGUGG